AGGAGACUAGUUAUGGAAGGUAGGGGUCAAUAAUAGCAGGAGGUAUUGGGUAGGAGACUAGUUAUGGAAGGUAGGGGUCAAUAAUAGAGCAAUCCAUCGAUAGGAGACUAGUUAUGGAAGGUAGGGGUCAAUAAUAGCAGGAGGUAUUGGGUAGGAGACUAGUUAUGGAAGGUAGGGGUCAAUAAUAGCAGGAGGUAUUGGGUAGGUGACUAGUUAUGGAAGGUAGGGGUCAAUAAUAGCAGGAGGUAUUGGGUAGGUGACUAGUUAUGGAAGGUAGGGGUCAAUAAUAGCAGGAGGUAUUGGGUAGGUGACUAGUUAUGGAAGGUAGGGGUCAAUAAUAGCAGGAGGUAUUGGGUAGGUGACUAGUUAUGGAAGGUAGGGGUCAAUAAUAGAUCAAUCCAUCGAUAGGAGACUAGUUAUGGAAGGUAGGGGUCAAUAAUAGCAGGAGGUAUUGGGUAGGUGACUAGUUAUGGAAGGUAGGGGUCAAUAAUAGCAGGAGGUAUUGGGUAGGUGACUAGUUAUGGAAGGUAGGGGUCAAUAAUAGCAGGAGGUAUUGGGUAGGUGACUAGUUAUGGAAGGUAGGGGUCAAUAAUAGCAGGAGGUAUUGGGUAGGUGACUAGUUAUGGAAGGUAGGGGUCAAUAAUAGCAGGAGGUAUUGGGUAGGUGACUAGUUAUGGAAGGUAGGGGUCAAUAAUAGCAGGAGGUAUUGGGUAGGUGACUAGUUAUGGAAGGUAGGGGUCAAUAAUAGAUCAAUCCAUCGAUAGGAGACUAGUUAUGGAAGGUAGGGGUCAAUAAUAGCAGGAGGUAUUGGGUAGGAGACUAGUUAUGGAAGGUAGGGGUCAAUAAUAGAUCAAUCCAUCGAUAGGAGACUAGUUAUGGAAGGUAGGGGUCAAUAAUAGCAGGAGGUAUUGGGUAGGAGACUAGUUAUGGAAGGUAGGGGUCAAUAAUAGCAGGAGGUAUUGGGUAGGUGACUAGUUAUGGAAGGUAGGGGUCAAUAAUAGAUCAAUCCAUCGAUAGGAGACUAGUUAUGGAAGGUAGGGGUCAAUAAUAGCAGGAGGUAUUGGGUAGGAGACUAGUUAUGGAAGGUAGGGGUCAAUAAUAGCAGGAGGUAUUGGGUAGGUGACUAGUUAUGGAAGGUAGGGGUCAAUAAUAGAUCAAUCAAUCGAUAGGAGACUAGUUAUGGAAGGUAGGGGUCAAUAAUAGCAGGAGGUAUUGGGUAGGAGACUAGUUAUGGAAGGUAGGGGUCAACAAUAGCAGGAGGUAUUGGGUAGGUGACUAGUUAUGGAAGGUAGGGGUCAAUAAUAGAUCAAUCCAUCGAUAGGAGACUAGUUAUGGAAGGUAGGGGUCAAUAAUAGCAGGAGGUAUUGGGUAGGAGACUAGUUAUGGAAGGUAGGGGUCAAUAAUAGAGCAAUCCAUCGAUAGGAGACUAGUUAUGGAAGGUAGGGGUCAAUAAUAGCAGGAGGUAUUGGGUAGGAGACUAGUUAUGGAAGGUAGGGGUCAAUAAUAGCAGGAGGUAUUGGGUAGGAGACUAGUUAUGGAAGGUAGGGGUCAAUAAUAGAUCAAUCCAUCGAUAGGAGACUAGUUAUGGAAGGUAGGGGUCAAUAAUAGCAGGAGGUAUUGGGUAGGUGACUAGUUAUGGAAGGUAGGGGUCAAUAAUAGAGCAAUCCAUCGAUAGGAGACUAGUUAUGGAAGGUAGGGGUCAAUAAUAGCAGGAGGUAUUGGGUAGGAGACUAGUUAUGGAAGGUAGGGGUCAAUAAUAGAGCAAUCCAUCGAUAGGAGACUAGUUAUGGAAGGUAGGGGUCAAUAAUAGCAGGAGGUAUUGGGUAGGAGACUAGUUAUGGAAGGUAGGGGUCAAUAAUAGAUCAAUCCAUCGAUAGGAGACUAGUUAUGGAAGGUAGGGGUCAAUAAUAGCAGGAGGUAUUGGGUAGGUGACUAGUUAUGGAAGGUAGGGGUCAAUAAUAGCAGGAGGUAUUGGGUAGGAGACUAGUUAUGGAAGGUAGGGGUCAAUAAUAGAUCAAUCCAUCGAUAGGAGACUAGUUAUGGAAGGUAGGGGUCAAUAAUAGCAGGAGGUAUUGGGUAGGAGACUAGUUAUGGAAGGUAGGGGUCAAUAAUAGCAGGAGGUAUUGGGUAGGUGACUAGUUAUGGAAGGUAGGGGUCAAUAAUAGCAGGAGGUAUUGGGUAGGUGACUAGUUAUGGAAGGUAGGGGUCAAUAAUAGAUCAAUCCAUCGAUAGGAGACUAGUUAUGGAAGGUAGGGGUCAAUAAUAGCAGGAGGUAUUGGGUAGGUGACUAGUUAUGGAAGGUAGGGGUCAAUAAUAGAUCAAUCCAUCGAUAGGAGACUAGUUAUGGAAGGUAGGGGUCAAUAAUAGCAGGAGGUAUUGGGUAGGUGACUAGUUAUGGAAGGUAGGGGUCAAUAAUAGCAGGAGGUAUUGGGUAGGUGACUAGUUAUGGAAGGUAGGGGUCAAUAAUAGCAGGAGGUAUUGGGUAGGUGACUAGUUAUGGAAGGUAGGGGUCAAUAAUAGCAGGAGGUAUUGGGUAGGUGACUAGUUAUGGAAGGUAGGGGUCAAUAAUAGCAGGAGGUAUUGGGUAGGUGACUAGUUAUGGAAGGUAGGGGUCAAUAAUAGCAGGAGGUAUUGGGUAGGAGACUAGUUAUGGAAGGUAGGGGUCAAUAAUAGCAGGAGGUAUUGGGUAGGAGACUAGUUAUGGAAGGUAGGGGUCAAUAACAGCAGGAGGUAUUGGGUAGGUGACUAGUUAUGGAAGGUAGGGGUCAACAACAGCAGGAGGUAUUGGGUAGGUGACUAGUUACGGGAGGUAGGGGUCAACAACAGCAGGAGGUAUUGGGUAGGUGACUAGUUACGGGAGGUAGGGGUCAACAACAGCAGGAGGUAUUGGGUAGGUUGAUGAGG